UCCCUGGUAGCUCAGACAGGAGAGCGUCUGCCUACAAUGUGGGAGACCCAGGUUCUAUCCCUGGGUUGGGAA
rnacentral:tRNA from 1 species